rnacentral:rRNA from 1 species
AACGUAGGUGGCGAGCGUUAUCCGGAUUCAUUGGGCGUAAAGAGCUUGUAGGUGGCGGCGUAAGUUGGACGUGAAAUCGCCCGGCUCAACCGGGCGGGGUCGUUCAAUACUGCGCGGCUGGAGGAGGUCAGAGGGAAGUGGAAUUCUGGUGUAGCAGUGAAAUGCGUAGAUAUCAGGAGGAACACCGGUGGUGUAGACGGCUUUCUGGACCGUAACUGACGCUGAGACACGAAAGCGUGGUAGCAAACAGG